UUCCACCCCCGUGACCCCCUGGCGUCCCCCUCCCACCACCGCAGCCCAACUGCUACGCCAAGGUGAUCACCAUCGAGGCGCAGAAGAAGAUCGUCAUCUACUCGAAGCAGCCCAUCGGGGUCAACGAGGAGAUCACCUACGACUACAAGUUCCCCAUCGAGGACACCAAAAUCCCCUGCCUGUGCCGCACCGAGAGCUGCCGCGGCACGCUCAACUAGGCCACCGCCUGGUGGGCCCGGUGGUGGGCCUUCUGGUGGGCCUGGUGGUGGGCCUGGUGGUGGGCCUUCUGGUGGGCCUUCUGGUGGGCCUUCUGGUGGGCCUUCUGGUGGGCGAGGAGGCAGCGGCGUUGGGGAGAAGUCAACGCGGUUGGCAAGAGGUCAACGUGGUGGUGUUGGGUCAUCAUCGUUGGCAAGAGGUCAUCAAUGUCUUUGGCAAGAGGUCAACGUGGUUGGCAAGAGGUCGUCGUGGUCAUCACCGUGGUCAUCACCGUGGUUGGCAAGAGGUCAUCGUUGUUGGUGUUGGGUCAUUGUGGUUGGCAAGAAGUCAUCAUGGUCAUCACCAUGGUUGGAAGAGAGGUCAAUGAUGUUGGUGAGAAGUCAAAGCGGUUGGCAAGAGGUCAUCGGCGUUGGUGGUGCGUCAUUGGUGUUGGGAAGAGGUCAUCAAUGUGGUUGGCAUGAAGUCAACGUGGUUGGCAAGAGGUCAUCACCGUGGUUGGCAAGAGGUCCUCUUAGUUGGCAAAAAGUCAACGUGGUUGGCGUGGGGUCGUCAUCAUGGUUGGCAAGAGGUCAUCGUUGUUGGUGUUGGGUCAUCUUGGUUGGCAAGAGGUCGUCAUGGUCAUCACCGUGGUCAUCACCGUGGUUGGCAAGAGGUCAGCGAUGUUGGUGAGAAGUCAACGCAGUUGGCAAGAGGUCAUUGGCGUUGGGUCAUCGUGGUCAUCACCAUGGUUGGCAAGAGGUCAUCCUAAUUGGCGUUGGGUCAUCGUGGUUGGUGUGAGGUCAUCGUGGUGGUCACCAUGGUCAUCACCGUGGUUGGUGAGAGGUCAAUGAGGUUGGCGUGACGUCAUCGUGGUUGGCGUGACGUCAUCGUGGUGCUCACCGUGACAACCCCAAAGGCAGCGCUGACACCACCAAGGCAGCCAUGACACCCCAGCGAUGACCACGGCGGCCAUGACACCCCAAGGAUAACCCCGGCGGCCAUGACACCCCGACGGCGGCCAUGACACCCCGAUGGCGGCCAUGACACCCCAACAACGACCAGGGCAGCCAUGACACCUCAACAGCGGCCAUGACACCACAACAAUGACCC
rnacentral:lncRNA from 1 species